rnacentral:rRNA from 1 species
GAUGAACGCUGGCGGCGUGCCUAAUACAUGCAAGUCGAGCGAACGGACGAGAAGCUUGCUUCUCUGAUGUUAGCGGCGGACGGGUGAGUAACACGUGGAUACCCUACCUAUAAGACUGGGAUAACUUCGGGAAACCGGAUCUAAUACCGGAUAAUAUUUUGAACCGCAUGGUUCAAAAGUGAAAGACGGUCUUGCUGUCACUUAUAGAUGGAUCCGCGCUGCAUUAGCUAGUUGGUAAGGUAACGGCUUACCAAGGCGACGAUGCAUAGCCGACCUGAGAGGGUGAUCGGCCACACUGGAACUGAGACACGGUCCAGACUCCUACGGGAGGCAGCAGUAGGGAAUAUUCCGCAAUGGGCGAAAGCCUGACGGAGCAAUGCCGCGUGAGUGAUGAAGGUCUUCGGAUCGUAAAACUCUGUUAUUAGGGAAGAACAUAUGUGUAAGUAACUGUGGACAUCUUGACGGUACCUAAUCAGAAAGCCCCGGCUAACUACGUG